rnacentral:rRNA from 1 species
CGUGGCGCACGGGUGAGUAACGCGUAGAUAACCUGUCCAAGCGAUUGGGAUAGCCCUCCGAAAGGGGGAUUAAUACCGGAUACGUUGAUUAUUUUUAAGGGUAAUCAAGAAAGGCGGCCUCUAUUUAUAAGCUGUCGCGCAUGGAGGGGUCUGCGUACCAUUAGUUUGUUGGUGGGGUAAUGGCCUACCAAGACUACGAUGGUUAACGGGUCUGAGAGGAUGAUCCGUCACACUGGCACUGAAACACGGGCCAGACUCCUACGGGAGGCAGCAGUGAGGAAUAUUGCGCAAUGGGGGAAAUCCUGACGCAGCGACGCCGCGUGGGUGAGGAAGGCUUUCGGGUCGUAAAACCCUGUCAGAAGGGAAGAAAUGCUUAUAGGUUAAUACCUUGUAAGUUUGACGGUACCUUCAAAGGAAGCACCGGCUAACUCCGUGCCAGCAGCCGCGGUAAUACGGAGGGUGCAAGCGUUGUUCGGAAUCACUGGGCGUAAAGGGCGCGUAGGCGGCUUGGCAAGUCAGAUGUGAAAGCCCACGGCUUAACCGUGGAAGUGCAUUUGAAACUGCUUGGCUUGAGUAUCAGAGGGGAAAGUGGAAUUCCCGGUGUAGAGGUGAAAUUCGUAGAUAUCGGGAGGAAUACCGGUGGCGAAGGCGACUUUCUGGCUGAAUACUGACGCUGAGGCGCGAAAGCGUGGGGAGCAAACAUGAUUACAUACCCU